rnacentral:rRNA from 1 species
UCGAGAAUUUUUCUCAAUGGGCGCAAGCCUGAAGGAGCGACGCCGCGUGGGGGAUGAAGGGUUUCGAUCCGUAAACCCCUGUCAUUUGUGAACAAAGCUUAUUCAAUAACACUGGGUAAGUUGAUAGUAAUGAAAGAGGAAGGGACGGCUAACUCUGUGCCAGCAGCCGCGGUAAUACAGAGGUCCCGAGCGUUGUUCGGAUUCACUGGGCGUAAAGGGUGCGUAGGUGGCCUAAAAAGUUUGAUGUGAAAGCUCAGGGCUUAACCCUGAAAUGGCAUUGAAUACUGUUGGGCUGGAGGUUUGGAGGGGGGACUGGAAUUCUUGGUGUAGCAGUGAAAUGCGUAGAUAUCAAGAGGAACACCAGUGGCGAAGGCGAGUCCCUGGACAACACCUGACACUGAGGCACGAAAGCCGGGGGAGCAAACAGGAUUAGAUACCCCCGUAGUCC